CCAUUGGCGAUUGGUUAGCGAUUUUCACUUUUAAAUCUGUGAUUGGCCCUGCCGCUUUAGCGGGGUGUAAAGAAGCUGUCUUGCCCACUUCUCACUCGCCUCCAACCCAUACAUUCGGCAGGGUCCUACACUGGUUGUCACACAGUUUUAGUACGGCUGGAAAUGUGACUCUCAUAACACGGGCUUACUGACUGGAAUGAAUACACCGCUCUGUGACAACCGAAGUGAUUUUUUUUGUGUGCGUGUCCUGCGUGGUUCUCAGUGGAUAGGCAUAUUGACUGUGUGGACUAUACAUUUCUGCCAUGACUGUGGAUUUGUUUGCAGUUUUAUGUGUCAUCAUCACCACCACCACGGUUUCUGCGAUGGAAGAAACGUUGAUGGACACACGGGUGGCUACUGCUGAGCUAGGCUGGACGGCCUACCCUGCGUCUGGGUGGGAGGAGGUGAGCGGCUACGACGAGAACCUCAACACCAUCCGGACCUACCAGGUGUGCAACGUGUUUGAGCCCAGCCAGAACAACUGGCUCCUCACCACCUUCAUCGACCGACGUGGAGCUCAGAGGAUCUACGUGGAGAUGCGCUUCACCGUGCGUGACUGCAGCUCCAUCCCCAACGUUCCCGGCUCCUGUAAGGAGACCUUCAAUCUCUACUACUACGAGACGGACUCGGUCAUCGCCACCAAAGGAACUGCCUUCUGGAUGGAAGCCCCUUACCUAAAGGUGGACACCAUCGCGGCCGAUGAGAGCUUCUCCCAGGUGGACUUCGGCGGACGAUUGAUGAAGGUCAACACAGAGGUUCGGAGCUUUGGCCCGCUGUCGAAGAAUGGGUUCUACCUGGCGUUUCAGGACUAUGGUGCUUGUAUGUCGCUACUCUCGGUCAGAGUGUUUUAUAAGAAGUGCCCCAGUGUGGUGCAGAACUUCGCCAUCUUCCCAGAGACCAUGACGGGGGCGGAGAGCACCUCCCUGGUCAUCGCUAGAGGGAUCUGCAUCCCGAAUUCGGAGGAGGUGGACGUGCCAAUAAAGCUGUACUGCAAUGGAGAUGGGGAGUGGAUGGUUCCUAUCGGGAGCUGCACCUGCAAAGCUGGGUUCGAGACAGAUAACGGGAAUGUCUGCCGAGCCUGCCCCCCAGGGACAUUCAAGUCGAGCCAGGGUCCAGGUCUGUGUUUGCAGUGCCCCUCCAACAGCCGCUCUGCAGCCGAGGCCGCCACUAUCUGCGCCUGCCGCAACGGCUACUACCGUGGGGACGUAGACCAACCUGACAUGCCCUGUACCAGCGUUCCCUCGGGCCCGCGGAACGUGAUCUCCGUCGUGAACGAGACUUCGGUGAUCCUGGAGUGGCACACGCCCAGGGAGACGGGCGGUCGUGAGGAUGUGGUCUACAACAUCGUGUGUAAGAAGUGUCGUGCGGACCGCCGUACCUGCUCACACUGCGAUGACAACGUGGAGUUUGUGCCUCGGCAGCUUGGCCUGACAGAGACCAGGGUGUUCAUCAGUAACCUGUGGGCUCACACGCUGUACAGCUUCGAGAUACAGGCUGUAAAUGGGGUCACCAACAAGAGCCCCUACCCUGCCCAGCAUGUGUCUAUAGACAUCACCACCAACCAGGCUGCCCCCUCGAUCGUACCCAUCAUGCACCAGGUGAGCUCCACCAUGAAGAGCUUCACGUUGUCAUGGCCACAGCCCGAACAGCCCAACGGAAUCAUCUUGGACUACGAGCUACGCUUCUAUGAGAAGGACCAUGCAGAGAUUAAUUCCACCAUGGUGCGCAGCGAGACCAACACAGCCCGCGUGGAGGGCCUCCGGGCGGGCACGGUCUACGUCGUGCAGGUGCGGGCCAGGACUGUGGCUGGCUUUGGCAAAUACAGCGGCAAGAUGUGCUUCCAAACCCUCACAGAUGAUGACUAUAAAUCAGAGUUGAGGGAGCAGCUUCCUCUGAUUGCUGGCUCGGCUGCAGCAGGAUUGGUGUUCAUCGUCUCUCUAGUGGCCAUCUCCAUCGUCUGCAGCAGGAAACGGGCGUACACCAAGGAAGCGGUGUACAGCGACAAGUUACAGCAUUACAGCACAGGAAGAGAGCUCUCCCUGAGAGCCGACAUGUCUAACUGCCCCUCCCCAAUGGGCUGCCCGACCCACUUCUCAGGCUCUCCGGGGAUGAAGAUCUACAUUGACCCCUUCACUUAUGAGGACCCUAACGAGGCCGUCCGGGAGUUCGCCAAGGAGAUCGACGUCUCCACCGUCAAGAUCGAAGAAGUCAUUGGCGCAGGUGAGUUUGGUGAGGUGUACAAGGGGCGCCUGAAGCUGCCAGGCAAGAGGGAGAUCUACGUAGCCAUCAAGACCCUGAAGGCAGGAUACGUGGAGAAGCAGAGGCGGGACUUCCUGUCCGAGGCGUCAAUCAUGGGACAGUUUGACCACCCCAACAUCAUCAGACUGGAGGGCGUGGUCACCAAGAGUCGGCCAGUCAUGAUCGUCACAGAGUUUAUGGAGAACGGGGCCCUCGAUUCCUUCCUGAGGCAAAACGACGGUCAGUUCACUGUAAUCCAGCUGGUGGGCAUGAUGAGGGGCAUCGCGGCGGGCAUGAAGUACCUCUCUGAGAUGAACUACGUCCAUAGAGACCUGGCCGCCCGCAACAUCCUGGUCAACAGCAACCUGGUCUGCAAGGUGUCCGACUUUGGACUUUCGCGCUACCUUCAGGACGAUACCUCUGACCCCUCCUACACCAGCUCUCUGGGGGGUAAGAUCCCGGUGAGGUGGACGGCUCCAGAGGCCAUCGCCUACAGGAAGUUCACCUCAGCCAGUGACGUGUGGAGCUACGGCAUCGUCAUGUGGGAGGUGAUGUCAUUCGGAGAGAGACCCUACUGGGACAUGUCUAAUCAGGAUGUGAUCAAUGCCAUAGAGCAGGACUACCGGCUACCCCCUCCCAUGGACUGCCCCUCGGCCCUACACCAACUCAUGCUGGACUGCUGGCAGAAGGACCGCAACGCCCGGCCACGCUUCACUGACAUCGUCAACACCCUGGACAAGAUGAUCCGCAACCCAGCCAGUCUCAAACAAGUGGCCAGCAUCCCUGCAGUGCCUUCCCAGCCCCUGUUGGACCGUUCUAUCCCAGACUUCAACACCUUCAGUUCAGUGGGAGAGUGGCUGGGAGCCCUCAAGAUGACUCAGUACAGAGACAACUUUCUCAACUCUGGCUUCACCUCCUUGCAACUGGUAGCACAGAUGACCUCUGAAGACCUCCUCAGGAUAGGUGUGACCCUGGCGGGCCACCAGAAGAAGAUCCUGAGUAACGUUGCCUCCAUGCAGGUCCAGAUGAGCCAGUGCCAGUCGCCCACCACCAUGGCAUGACUGGAGGGGGCGCCGUGCCACGGGUCGGGCAGCAUUCAGGCAGGCAGGGACUACACCCCUCACCGAAUGACCCCCAACCCGUCGGGACGCGCCAGGGUCGAGACUAUCAUCCUCAUCUAAUGGAACAUCAUAAUAGCAGUAGACCAGGGUCCAGACCAAUACUAACUCAAUAUCACCUUCCACUAAUCUGAGUUAUAAUGAGUUAUGAUCCAGAAUUCAGUGGGUUCAGAGAAUGUUUUUUCUAAUCUUAAUCUGUGAGUUCUACAGUCCUGGAGUCUGGAGUGGACAGAUUAUCAUCCUAGUCUGAACUAUCCCAGAGUUCCAUGGGUUCAGAUACUUUUGUCACAUCUUAAUCUGUGGCCAUGGACUAUACUAUCAUCCAUGGAUUAUCAUCAGUGUGUAAUUUCACAUCUGGAGCACAUGGUAUAUAGAAUAUGAUCGUAUUGUACUGUAAUGUAACCCCAGACCACCACAGGCUGACUGGAUGAUGGUAGACUGGAGACGAGGACCAAGUGGAAGCCAUUUUGAAGAGGAAGUUCAUGUCAUCAGAAGGUCUCUGAUAUGUCAUUUGAACCCAGGCCUUCUUCAAAGACUAGUGAGGAUGCUUGGCCUGGCUAGGAGCAGCGGUAUGAAAUGCGCGUAGGAAGAAAGCAAUUCAAAUUCACCAUACAUUGUCAUUAUACACACAUACUGAAAAUGAUACAGAGGCAUACAGUGGUGUAUGGUUGAUUGGGUUUGACCAUUUCUCAAAUUGUAUUUUUUCUUCCUUCAAAACUUUUGACAUCUUGGAGAUCUCCUCAAGGUCAAAGGUUGACCCGACGGGAAAGGAGAGCUUUUGAGACAUUUGUUGAUAUCUUGUUUUUGUUUUUUUUUAACCAUAAAAGCAGGGAACUCAGAUCUCUCUUCCAUUUUUUCACCUUAACACUACCUGUCGAUGUCUGGGCUGAUGGCCUUGCCAAAGGACGAGUGAAACGGCCUCGCCCAGAUUCGGAGAAUAUAUACACAUAUGUAUAUCUCUAACUAAAUAUGAAUAUAUCUUCAGAAUAAAUCUUCAUAUUGAAGGUGAUGUGUAUGAAUAUGUAUGUGCAAGACUCUCUCUGCUUGCAUUUUUGGCAAAGAUGACGUUUUUGUGCACUGAAUUGUAAUGGAGAUGGACACAUAUAAUGCUGAGGGGUCACAAUCCUGAAAUAACUUUGACCUGGAAAUAAAUGUACAAAGGACCAUGUACAAAUUACUGUUUCUGUAGAUGUGUAUAAAACCACUGUAGGGAUAAAAAAAGGUGACCAAAACGUCCAUUCUCUGGAGAGCCCAUGUUAAAUGUGAGUGUAUCCAUGCUGUGUCUUGCUGAUGAGCACUUAAUGUACAGAUGAUGUUGGUUCUUCUUCAUUUCUUUGUUGUUUGUGUUGGAGUGAUUGGAACCGUCCAGAAUGGGAAGGAGAGUGGAGACUGUCUCGUCUCAUCUGGCCAAAUGUCUAUGAGGAUGGACACACACACACACACACACACACACACACACACACACACACACACACACACACACACACACACACACACACACACACACACACACACACACACACACACACACACACACACACACACACACACACACAGCAUUGCUCAGGACAGCCAAUAAGGAUGAGGACAGCACGACAGGGAAGAUGACCUCACUUUACUGCACACACAGGACGAAGGAACCACAUGUGUUUGUGUGUGUUUGAUUUCCUUUGUGUCUCUCUCUGUAUAGCUACCACUUGUAUAUUGUGACGAGUAUGUGUCCGAGUUUGUAAACUGUAACUUUCUGAGAACUAUUGUACUAAAAAUGCACUCAAUAAACACCUUGGAAAACA